rnacentral:ncRNA from 1 species
GGCUUGGUCCUGACUUUACUAUAAACUUUAACCCAACUUAUACAUGCAAGUCUCCGCACCCCUGUUGAGAAUGCCCUCAAUCCCCAUACCGAGAAAGAGGAGCUGGCAUCAGGCACACAUCCAUAGCCCAAGACGCCUUGCUAAGCCACACCCCCAAGGGAACUCAGCAGUAAUAAACAUUAAGCCAUAAGUGAAAACUUGACUUAGUUAGGGUUAAAAGAGCCGGUAAAAUCCGUGCCAGCCACCGCGGUUAUACGAAAGACCCUAGUUUAUAGGCACGGCGUAAAGGGUGGUUAAGGAAGACCCAAAAUAAGGCUAAAGAUCUCCUAAGCAGUCAUACGCUCCACGGAGACACUAAAUCUAAAUACGAAAGUUGCCUUAAUUAAACUUUACCUGACCCCACGAAAGCUGAAAAACAAACUGGGAUUAGAUACCCCACUAUGUUCAGCCUUAAACCCCGAUAAAAAUUUACAAAAUUAUCCGCCAGGGGACUACAAGCACAGCUUAAAACCCAAAGGACUUGGCGGUGCCUCAGAUCCACCUAGAGGAGCCUGUUCUAGAACCGAUAAUCCCCGUUAAACCUCUCCACCUCUUGUCUUUCCCGCCUAUAUACCGCCGUCGUCAGCUUACCCUGUGAAGGCUUAAUAGUAAGCAAAAUGAGCCAAACCCAAAACGUCAGGUCGAGGUGUAGCGCACGAGAUGGAAAGAAAUGGGCUACAUUUUCUACCGCAGAAUAUACGGAUAAUGUCCUGAAAACAACAUAUGAAGGAGGAUUUAGUAGUAAAAAGUAAAUAGAGUGUACUUUUGAAUUAGGCUCUGAGGCGCGCACACACCGCCCGUCACUCUCCCCAUAGUAAUCAACAACCAUACAUAAUACUUAUAAACACACACGGGGAGGCAAGUCGUAACAUGGUAAGUGUACCGGAAGGUGCCCUUGGAAAAAUC